AACGGCCGUACCAUGCUUAAUAUACCGGUUCUCGUUAGAUCACCGAAGUCAAGCAUCAUUGGGCGCGGUCAGUACUUGGGUGGGUGACCAGCUAGGAACAACACGUGCCGUUG
rnacentral:rRNA from 1 species